rnacentral:rRNA from 1 species
GUACACUCCUACGGGAGGCAGCAGUGGGGAAUAUUGGACAAUGGGCGCAAGCCUGAUCCAGCCAUGCCGCGUGAGUGAUGAAGGCCCUAGGGUUGUAAAGCUCUUUCACCGGUGAAGAUAAUGACGGUAACCGGAGAAGAAGCCCCGGCUAACUUCGUGCCAGCAGCCGCGGUAAUACGAAGGGGGCUAGCGUUGUUCGGAUUUACUGGGCGUAAAGCGCACGUAGGCGGACUAUUAAGUCAGGGGUGAAAUCCCGGGGCUCAACCCCGGAACUGCCUUUGAUACUGGUAGUCAUGAGUUCGAGAGAGGUGAGUGGAAUUCCGAGUGUAGAGGUGAAAUUCGUAGAUAUUCGGAGGAACACCAGUGGCGAAGGCGGCUCACUGGCUCGAUACUGACGCUGAGGUGCGAAAGCGUGGGGAGCAAACAGGAUUAGAUACCCGUGUAGUCCC